AUCAGUGACUUGUUACAAGGUUCUAACAAGUCUGAUACAGUUAUGAUAUAACAAGAAUGUUACAAGGUUGACCACACAGGGUUGUAACAAUAUUGUUAUAUCAUGACUGUAUCGGACUUGUUGGAACAACCUUGCAACAAGUCUGAU